CCUACGGGGGGCAGCAGUGAGGAAUAUUGGUCAAUGGACGCAAGUCUGAACCAGCCAUGCCGCGUGCAGGAAGAAGGCUCUAUGAGUUGUAAACUGCUUUUGUACGAGGGUAAAUCCCGAUACGUGUAUCGGGUUGAAAGUAUCGUACGAAUAAGGAUCGGCUAACUACGUGCCAGCAGCCGCGGGAAGACGGAGGAUUCAAGCGUUAUCCGGAUUUAUUGGGUUUAAAGGGUGCGUAGGCGGUUCGAUAAGUUAGAGGUGAAAGCCCGGGGCUCAACUCCGGCACUGCCUCUGAUACUGGCGGGCUAGAGUUUAGUUGCGGUAGGCGGAAUGUAUGGUGUAGCGGUGAAAUGCAUAGAGAUCAUACAGAACACCGAUUGCGAAGGCAGCUUACCAAACUACGACUGACGUUGAGGCACGAAAGCGUGGGGAGCAAACAGGAUUAGAUACCCGAGUAGUC
rnacentral:rRNA from 1 species